CCCAAUAGAAGUGCAAAGCAUCGGUUGUCGAUAAUAUGCCUCUGGCACCAUGAUACAACGGGUUUCGCUCAUUUGAAAGGGCUCUGCUGCCUCCUCUUCCGAAUUUCGCGGUUGCCUUUGUUGAAAUCCCAGUAGAUGGGCAGAGCAUCAAUCGUCCAUAAUAUAUGCCUCGGGCACCAUGAUACAACUGGUUUCGACCAUUUCAAAGGGCUCUGCUGCCUCCUCUUCCGAAUUUCGCGGUUCCCUUUGUUACAAUCUCAGUGGAAGGGCAAACGGUCAGUCGAUAAUAUGCCUCUUGCGCCAUGAUAUAAGAGGUUUCGCCCAUUUCAAAGGGCUUUACUUUCUCCUUUUCCGAAUUUCGCUGUCUCCUUUGUUGAAAUCCCAGUGAAAGGCUAAAGCAUUAAUCGUUGAUAAUAUGCAUUUUGCACCAUGAUACAAGGGGGUAAAUUUACGAUGAUCAUUAAGUGGAGUUAAGUUUAUUCUUUAGAGCAAGUGAUUCAGACGGUUGCUUGUUUAAAUCACGUUCGGGUCACCAAAUAUAGAGAAACACCAUCUCCUCUACAGUUCAUUCAGUGGGUGAUGCAAGUACUAAUUCACUGGCAUUCACCCACCAGGCACUUUCUUUUUGUAGUAAACAUGUUGUAGAUUAUUGUUGUUGUUGUUUUUCUCUCUUUCUUGCCAGUCUAUUUCCGAGCACAAAAUGCUAUGCAUUCCUAUUAUUUGAUUUCUAAUACAAGAGCCACAAAAUGUUUUCAUAAUCUUAUGAAAAGAACAAUCACAUUCAGUGAUCAUUCACGGGGGUGUUCACCCUAGGACUUCUGUCUCUUUGGCCUUUCCACUUCGGGCUUUGACAGUUCGGCGUUUCGAUUUUUCGGCCUUUUGAUAGUUCGGCGUCAUCAUUUUCGGCCUUUCGGUAGGCUUCCGGAUGGACAAGCGUGAGAGACUAACUUUUCCGACCCAGUUUCUGCACUCCAUAAGAGUAUAGUUCCGGUUUCGGCGCAUCACGAUUUGACGAUUUAUAUCUCAAAGUAUGUGCUUGUGAAUUCAAAUAAUGAUUGCCUCUGGUUCUGCUGUCUUAUAUUUUCCUACAAACAAAUAAUUAAAAAGGUGAUUUUUUUCCCUUGUGGUGUGGUCAAGAUUUCUUUUAUUAGUGUCAGGCGUGAGAUGGACCGUGAGUACGAGCCCUGUGCUUUAAUGAACUUUAGCUUUCUUGUCGCCCAUAUGCUUUCCCACAGGAUGUCCGCAUAAACCAGUUUCAAAAACGGCAUCUGAGUAGCUUUUGUAGCUUUUUUUUUUAUUACAAAAUCUAAAAGAUAAAAAUGAACACCCUGUGUACAUUCUAGAUGGACAAAAAGGUCGUUCAGGGUGCGCGCGAUAUGUGCAAAGCGGAUGUCCUGGCGAGGUAAAUCGAAACUGGAUAGCACUGCAGAUUGGAUGUAGUUUAUAAAGUUUGGACUUUUGGCAGUACCCUUGGAUGUCCCGAUCAGAGCCGUCUCUGGUCCAGAUUUCAGUCUAUGGACAUCUGGUGGAUAUUCGCAGGACUGUGAUGUGUUACUGGGGAUGUAGUCAUCCACUGUAGAGAUGGCUAAACAUCGUAAGACGAGACAAAAUGAUUGUUAUUUUACUGAAUAAUAUAUUAGGAUAUUUAUUUGCAUCAGAGUCAUGUACAACGAGAAAGAUAUGGCCACAUCAUAGAUAAGAGCAAAAAAUCUGCAUGGCUACUAUGCACAUGCCAGUACGAAUAAUACUACGUGACAAUUUUUACUUUGGUUAUCAACAUUAUCUCCUAAGUGAAACAGAAGCUCGCAAAUUAUAGAGCAACUGUUUCGAACAUGAAAGUGAAUAACAGUGGUUCAAGUUUCAAUUUGAAAUGUUCAAACAGUGAAAUAGGAAUAAGUCAAGCUAAAUGCAACAAUUCCUAAUAGCCAGAAAAAUAUUAAGUACCUGUCUGAACACACGGCUCUUUCUUUAAAGCUGAACAUCUUCAAAUUUUUUUCAAAUAAUUCUACCGGUUGAAUUUUUUCGCAUCACGAGUCCCAACCAGACCGAACUUACGAGAACUCUAGAGAAAAAAUAAAUAAAAGGAAAAGAAAACUCCAAGAUGAAAAAAGUGUUGCUGAGUUCAACACUUUAUCUGAAUCUUCCACUGGAGAUCACAAAAAUAUUUUGUAUCAACAUCAACAAAUUACUUUGCAGGCAUACGAUACAAAAAUAGAAUCAAUCAAUCAUCAUGAACACUGAGACAGGUCUCCACUUUAGUACCAUAUCUAAAUAUUCUCCGCAUAUCGUCGUUUAACGCCACGCUGUUAGCGAUUAAAGCUCCAAAUUUACAGAAAGCCAAAUCACUCUGCUUGCGUGAACUGCAAUAUUCAAUUAUCAGAAAUAUACCAGUGGCCAGUCUUGGGUAGUAACUUGGAACCGUGACUACAACUGUAACAACUUUUGUUAAAAGUAGUUGUAAUUAUGACAUCUCUCGGAGUUUAAGGAGUUCUGGGACAGGGAAGGAUGUUUGCACGCUCUCGAAGACUGGACAAUACAAGUGUUAGAAGAAUUAAGUGAUUUUUCGUUUCUUAAAAAGUAACCGUAAAGUAACUGUAGCUUUAUCUGGUUUCAUUUCAAAAAGUUAUAGCUAUAACUUACUCAUGACUGCCACUGGGGUAGCCAACAGUGGGCACCACAUGAAACUACUGCAUUGUACUACAUAACAGUAGUAGUCAUACUAUGUAUGUGCUAUAAAUGUAAAGCUAUGAACGGAGAUGACAUGGUAGCACUAUGCACGGUGCAUAACAAGAAGUUGCGUUUUACUAAAGCUGUACAGCUUUUGCCUACUCACAUCUAAUAUAAUUUUGAACAGCUAGUUUCAAAGUUAAUCUUAGUCAUUAAUAAAAAUGUGCCGGUGGUUCAAAUUAGAAAAUUGUAGUCCAAAGAUCUGCAAAAACAGAUACUGCAGCGAGCUCACAUGGUCAAUUAGGACGUGGAAAAAAUGCAAAAUCUCUGAGCAACCCACAGAGUUGCAUUUUAGACAGGGCCACCUUUUUCUUCUGUGGUUUUUACAGAUUGGAAGGGCUUUGAUCUACAACUUUUUAAUUUAUACCACUGAAACAUUUUUAUUCAUUAAUUUGAUUAAUUUUGUAAACUCAUUAAUACUAGUGCUGAAAUUAUAUAACUAGUAUUAAUGAUUAUAUUAAUGAGUAGGACAUAUAUCACUAAUAAGGAAAAACUCAACCUGGAUUGAUAAAAAUUUUGGCCACCCUGUAUAUGUGUGAUAUUGGGAUGUAUAAUGUAUGCAGUGUGUAGUUUCACUACAUACAUAAUAUGUGGUAGUACGACAUAAUACUAGUAUUACCAUUAUGCGUGUGGCAUGCAUAUUGUACUAUGCACUAUGCCGCUAAUAUGUGGCACGUAUGAAGUAAUAUGUAUUUCAUCACUAUGUGCUAGUGUAUACAUGCAGAGAAGGAAAUAGGGGUAAGGGAAAAGGAGGAGGAAUAAAUGUUUUAAGGAGAACGUUCUGUUCUGGGACGGAGGAUAAUACACUGUGUCCUGUCAUUCUCUGACGAGAACACUACAAUACAUAAUAUGCAUAGUACUACAUAGUAUUACUAGCAUUAAGUGCAUGGUAUGUGCAGAGUACAAUGCAGCAUAGCAGCACGACGUGUGUAGUAUAUAUGUGGCACUAUGUACAUAACAUAUCAUAGUACGACACAGUAGUUUCUUGUGAUGAUCAGCACGGGUCAGCUAAUGUACAUAAACUGAAAAUGCUUAGCAUGAUAGUAAUUGGGAGUGGAUUUACAUGAAGUGAAACUAGCAUCAAACUAAAGCUGUAUCCACAGAAACACUAAGGACAAGUACUUUCACAUUGAUUUUCUUGAAACAGUCAUUGAAGCGGAAUAAAACAUGCAUUUUAAAAUUACACAUCCUUUGGUAGAAGCAAAUCACAUGCCUUAUGUAGGACACAGUUUGUCACAUUUGCAUAAAAUCAAGUAUGUAAGCCACCAUAAAAUUAGUCACGCACAAUUUGUACGAUCAUUAGACCUAAAUAGGGACUAGUAAACUUGGAGAAUUCUCCAUGUUUGAGCAUUUUGUACAAACAUCCACACAGUGGCAAUUGACGCAGUUUAAAUAAAUUGUACGAUAAUACACACUUACGCUAGCUGUUGCUCACAAAUUGCAAAAAACGAUAACGUUUUUUUGCGAGCAAAUAAAGAAGUUGUUGAAGAGGAAACAACUGCUCCUCAUAAAAAGUGAAAUAUGAAUGCUCAGAGACAUUAAUAUUUAAGGCUUUUUGUUCUUAUGGCUGUCUGUAUGCAUAAACAGUAUCUAAAACCAUCCCAACAUGUCUGAAACUGCAAUUAGAAAGAGAGCUCAUGAGUAGAGGUGUGCAUGUAGAAGUGUGCAGAGAAGUAAAUUUGUAUCCGCAACCCCUGAUGCUGGUGGACACCGUUUUCUACUCACAAUUAACAAAAUCGGAUGAAACAAACAAAUCAGAAAAGGGAACGACUGUCAAUUCUGAUCCCUCCUACACUGUCAGGUUCUGUUUUUGGAGACUGACAUGAUAACACAUGUACAAGAAGUGAGACAGGAACAGAUGUUCGCUCCCUGUCUCAGUAGUGGCGUUAUUUCAUGCUGUACCAAUAAGCCCAGUCUUCUACAUUGCUCAGUUAGUACAAUCUAAUCGUGAUGCCGUGAGAUGCCCCAACAGAGAUGAGUUGAAAGGAACGACACACAUUUCCACAAACGCGUGCUGUUUUGCGUUUUGUUCAGUGUCGAAUUUGUCAGCUAUUUAAGUGAGAGCUACAGGUGCACCGUUCUCUUCACCGUGGGUUAUGUAAAAAAAGAUAACUUCUUGGGGGUGUUUUUCUCCAUGAACCCUGGAGGAAAUGCAAAAAUUAAUGAGUAAUCAGGGUAGCAAAAGUUUAGUUUAGGGGCUGCGGGCAACUCAGGUUUUCCCGCACGAUCCGCUGUCACACUGCGGGUGCACCCACAUUUUACCCACAUUUAUAUUGAAUAUCUACCCGCAAAGCUGCACGGGUAUCUGCGGGUAACCGCGGGUGUACCCACACACCUCUACUCAUGAGGGUGUUUUGACAUAAAAUGCACAUUUUGCUCAUCGCUUCGCAGUUGACAACCAUAGUUGCAUGACGAAGCCAAUCGUUCGUUCUGGAGACAUCAAAAGCGACUCAUUAAAUCUGGCAACCUGAAUCUGAUGUACGGGUAGGCUGGCAUAACAUUAGAGGCGUGCGAUACUAAGCUUUGACUGCAAAGACAAACAGCUGAGCUGUGCUCUACUUGCUCCAAAGGGUGCAAAUCAAGUAUAUGACAAGACCCCACACAGUGUAAAUUCAUUAUAAACUGAGCCAUUUUCUGCAACAAUGUUUCAUCCUGAACACUGUUCUACAUUCAAUUCUUUGAUCAUUUAAACCUACAUAAAUGCAAGUUGACUGUUCAGCACCAUCUGAGCUAUCUUCAUAAUUAUCCCUCGCAUACAUUCACAAAACAUACAGUAAGUUUAAAUCUUCAGGUGAGAAUCUGGAGUGCACCAGUCUGAGAAAAAUGUCAUACCAUCUGGUUGUUGACCAAGAAAGGUGUUUGCCAAGUGCGACCUAGGAGUUGAACACUCAACGACUGAUUUUUUUUUUCUGGGAGCUGUUACGCAUCCACAUACUAGCUUGCCUGCUACUUCCGGACAUAAUCCAAUAUUACCUGUACAUGUAGAUGAGUAAUAUCUUGGUCAAGUUUGUUCAAGUCAAGUUUGCCUAGCAUGCUAGGGAAACUUGACGUCUUUAAAAGAAGCAUCAACAACACGACACCCUCGCUUGGCAACACUUUCGCCACAUACUCCCAAACACAUAACAACUACGCAAAAUCCCCGAUUUCAAAAUCAGUCUCUUAACUGGCAUGUUGGGAGACAAAUGCCUGUACCAAGUUUAAAGUCUGUCAAAAAGUUUCCUACAACUUAAAUGCAGUACUGGGCGUGGUCCUACAACACAUCUACACCAUGUAUCGUAUUGUAUAGCGCCACAUUUCUGCAGGCAGUAAACAAAGGCGUAUUUUGCAACCUGCCAGCACAAUUUGUGAUGCGCAAGGUAUCUUCAAUAUAAUGCUGUUUGGUUACAAUAAAUACAAAAUACUGGCAAACAACUGUGCCAACAAGGGCAAAAUUUUUCAUCGGUUGGGCGAGCUAUUACAGAUAAUGACAGAGUAAUGCAUACGCAUCUAAAAAGAAAGUGUCACAUAAAUUGAAGAUUACUCGCAUGGGACACAAAAUUUGCCACCAAAACUUGUUCGUUAUCGCAAAAGUUGUCCGUCGUGCACCCAGCUCUACUGGAAAACGUCCAGUGGGUACACUUAUGUGACCAUAAAAAAAGUGCCUCUUGCGAAGCUUCUCUGUACAUUGUAAGAACAAGAAUACUACAACCUCUCCUCUAGGACAUUUCCCCCGUGUUGGUGGCUUAUAGCUGACCAGCAAGGGGGAUUCUCACGUCACAAUAUGAACAAAAACAGACAACAACAUCCUUUGGCUUCAAAAACUGGCAUCACAUGCACAAGGUGCAAUUUAUAAUGCAAGUCGUCCUCAUGGUGAAUAAUUUUCAUUUUGUUUGCCAGGUGCUGCCUGUCUUGUCCUCUGUAUGUGUUUGAAAAAAAGAAAAAGAAAAAGAAAGAAAGGAGAAAGUGGUGAUGAAGAAAUAUACGUCAUUUUUGGCAAAACUAGGCACAUACAAAAGCCAUUUUGACAGGAAAAGCGCUGCACGGAAUACCGCUGUGCAUGGUGUCUGGUGCACAGCAUCAUGUAUGGGUUGUGACACUCUGAUAGGUGUGCUUCAUUACACUGUGUGUAUUGAGGAAAAAAAAAAGAAUUCUUUUUCAACGUGUCAUAUCUACUUGGCGAGAUAUAAACCCUUUAACAGACAUACUCAUCAAGCUCUGACAUCUAGAGCUCCAGCCAUUUCCACUGGUGCCCCUCUUGGGCUUCCUUUCUAGCGGAGACGCUUGAGUUUUGGUAUUUGCGGUGCCGUGUUUUCUACGCUAUGUCUGUUACCCCCUUUGCUGUAAAACUUGGAAUUCAGGCUCACAUUGACGCAAAUUUUACGUUUAUCCGGAAUAACUAGAGACGAGGUGUCGCAACCCCCUGGUGUGCAGGGGUGGAAGUGAGGCCUCAACUUUUGGAGCUGCAAUUGGAACACAAAAAAAAUCUGGUUUUGGAGAAGGCUCGGUGUUUUGGAUCUCACACGGAGAGAUUUUGUAGCGGAAACAUUUUUCUAUCCAGACAAACUAGAGGCAAACCUGAAAUGGCUCAUACCCUGCUCUAAGUACAAGGUCUCGAGCCUACCAAAUGAAGUUUAAAAUCCAGCAGCAAAUCCGUUACGCACCUUGGACGAGCUACGCUCACCCAAAUGUCUUGGCUGCCAAUUUUUCUUCCAUCUUACCCCUUUUUUAUGUCUGGUAAGUUGCUCACAGCAGACCUUCUUUUAGGCGCUCGUUUGGAAGUGCAUCUUCAGCAAAGACGAGACAUGUUGGCAGCCCCUUGCUUCUCGCCUUGUCUCUCAGAGAAACUUGUCUCUCCUGCUCUUGUCUCUCUCUGCUAAGAAACACAUUUGGCCAAAUGGGCUUAUCUGCAGCUUCAGUCUUGAAAUGUUACCUGCUGGAAGCAAUGAACAAAAGCUUUUUCCUUCCAUUUUGGAAAUUUAACCCGGAAGCAUCAUCAAAAAAGGAAUGUAGCAGCGUGUAAUGGAAUCUGCAAAAGCCUGAAUACGGUUUCCACUUUUGAUGUGGUUAUGUGUGCGUUAGUUGAAAGUUCUUAAGAUGGAGACUGUUUCAACAUUUUCGCUUACUUUUGCUCACUAUUCUAUGCUAUCAAAAAAAAAGACAAUCAAGAAGAAGUACAUCAAGAAGGAGGAAGGGAUAUUGACGGAGCAACUAAAGUGGCUUGACUGAGAUUGUAUUGUAUUGAACUGUAGUUUCCAACAUCUGGUUACCAGUUGGAGUCUAAAACUCGCAAGAACUGUGGUACGUUUGCUAAAAUCAUGACGGUUUGACGACCGAAGGCACGGUUUUGUCACCAAUGCGUUGCAAGUUGGAGCAGCACUUCCACCCCUGAGUGUAACAUGCAGAAUAAUCAUGUUGCAGAUGUGUUCAUAAAGCACAUACUUUUCUUGCUGUCUGGUUGUGUGCUGGGCACACAUCGUACCAGUUGCAUUCCUGUGCAUGAAAAAAAGUCUAAAAUGCAGCUUUAUCUUUGUGGCCAUCGCAAACAUUUUUAAAGCGUAUGUAAGCACGAGCUCUUGGGCUGCUCAUCAACUACUUCCUGGACUUGUUUUGAUUUGUCAAUUCAACAGUUCAGAACUUUUCAACUUUUCAAAAACCCAGUGGUUCCUGAUCGACAAUCCACUCGGUGCUUUGAUAUCUGGCACUUUUGAGAAGAAAGUGGUGGUGGGGGAACUCUAUAAAAAAAAAUCACUAAAAAUAUUUUCCUCAAUGUAUCGUUACUGGUAGAACCUCAACAUCAUCUUUUUUUUUCAGCACCAAGGAAGCACCGUUUUCUGACGGGGGAAACUAUUUUAUAAAUCUCAAAGCUGUCUUACGAGGGCAGACCCCCAGCUUUCACAACAGGCAGAGAUCUUAGCAGGAUCUUGGGAUGUUCUGUAGAAGGGGCUCAUAUAAAAUAUAAUGUGAGCAAGAAUCUUUGGGAUUACCAAAGUCAGACAUUACAAUUCACCCACUUGCCUCGUAACAAUCUUGGUACUAGUAUCAGAAUUUUUUUUUACAGUGUUCUAACAACUUUUCAGGGUGACACCCUCCUGCCAUCAUGAUCGCUACCGCAGCUGCUCUUCACAUUGUAGCACAUAAAUUCUAGCGAGACAAAGAGCAAGAAACACUUGCCUCAUUGUUUUUUACAUUCCACACUUCAGUUGUCGUCUUCAGGUUCAAGCGCGCAGAUGACAGACUUGACGAAGGCCGCGGCGGCAAGUGCAGAGUAUGGCUGCCAAUCCUUCUUCUUGCUUCCAUCUUUGUAGUCUGCAAUGCCGCGCACAAACAUGUAGUGGUCUUUCCGGCUGCCGCAGAUGGAAUCCGCAACAGUGUUGAAACCAGUGUCCAGCGCCACAAUGCCAUGCUCUUCCGCGAAAGCGUGUCGAGCUCCAUCCUCCCUUCCCAGCAGCCCAUAUCCCGAUCCAACGGCACCAAAGUGAACUACCGGACUUCCUGGGACCCUGAUGUUGGACUCUCCGGUUGGCUCGCUCGGGUGCGCCACCUCGAUGACGUCUUUCCCUCCGAUGGACAUGUAGAGGCGGUCCGUCUCCGGAGGUGGCCUGUUGAAGUCUGAUUCUUGGUCCGACAAAGCCUUUGGAAUGAGCACAAAGUGGUAAAGGAAGCAAUCCUCAGCCGAUGUAUGCUAAAGUGGUCAUGUGCGGUUACAUUUCACUGUCCAUCCUUGGAAGCCUUCUGCGAGUGCUUCAUCAUUAUGAAGAUGUCACAGCCGAAGCAGUGCAAGGCAGUCACACUGCAACGCAACUGAAUGUGAAACAUUCAUCGCAACGUCUUUUUGAUGCCAAGUGAUUCCACCUCUCCAUGAUUUUUUUUUUAAUGUGAAGUGUGAUUUUGUGUAAUUACAGUUCAUUACAUUGAAAUUUCAGCACUGCACAAAUCUUGAUUUUCCCCCCAGAGUUUAAGGCGUGAAAAUUAAAAGAUUGACUUUGCGGAGACGGCACACCAGUGGAUGGCAAUUUUUGAAACAAAGAUUUUGGUAAUGGUGAUCUAGAAAUUUCUUAAACUGCAUGAGGUGAUGAAAAGCGUGACUACUUGUAGCAGGCGAAUGGUGCGUAACAUUUGCCAAAAUCUGAGUGUUGUGUCAAGCCCUGACGAUCCAAGAAACGCCGACAUGUGCUGAGGAUCUAUGGCUAUAACUAGAACCCAGAUAGCCCAUUUCAAGUUUUCUCUGCAUGUAGACAAUAUCCAGUAGAUAGAAGUAUCCUACCAGUCAUUGCUCUCUCACAACAUUUGCUAGGAAGUGGUGCAGGUUUUAUGCAGAAACUAAUACUAAGUUUUGCCUGUGUGUAUGAAAGAGUAGAUAACCAAUUAAUCAAUGUUUUUAUGUAUUUUGGUCAUUGCAGUGAAAGGAAAAGACAUAAAAAAAGGAGGUGAUGCAAGAUGGCACUUUGAUCAUAACAUAUUACGAGCAUGCUUUCGGUUAUCUGAUGCUAGUGUCUAAGAACCACGUUGUACCACUGUCAAUCAUCAAUAAAAAUAUUUUCACACAACA